GUGCUCACUUUGGCAACACAUACUAAAAUUAGAACAGUGCAGAGAUUAGCCUGGCCUCUGUGCAAGGAUGACACGUACAUUUGUGAACCAUAGUUUUUU
rnacentral:snRNA from 1 species